rnacentral:lncRNA from 1 species
CUUCCAAGCACCGACACUUGUCUUUCCCUCAGGGAUCGGCAGGCCACAUCCCCUCCCAGUUCCUCCAUCUCUGCUCAGAUGUCUAGCUCCCCUACUGGAGUGAGACUGCCAUGGGGGACUGAAUUAUAAAUCUAGCCUCCUCAUUUUACGGAUGGGCCAGGGGGAGGCGGGUAAGUGGUGCUCUGCUCACCAGAGGGGCAGGAUUUUGCCCAUGUUAAAAGCCAGUAGGCAGCAGAGGCCACCUGGACACUUUCCCUCAGGCAGCUGCCCUCACUGUCCAGCAGGGAACAAAGUGACUUGCCUGCUGUGGCUUAGCUCUCCCUGGUUGGAAGUCCUGCUGCCCUACAGGAGCUCGCCCCAGCCCCACAGGAUGCUGAUGCUGCUCAUCUGAAUACUGCACCUUGAGAACCACUGUGUUCGAGCGAUAGACUUUUCAGUUAAGGAUAGCAUUUCCCAGCUUCCCUCUGCACCUGGCUAUGCCCAACUGUCUGGCUGAUGGGAUGAGAGCAGAAGUGACAUAUGCAACCGUAAAAGAGUCAAGGAAACUUUUCAGCUAUUUACAGCUUUUAACAAUUGAGUAAAGCAUACUCCUGUGAACAAAAUUUGGAACAUAUUUGUUUCUCUCUACCUGAUUUCUCCACAAUUUGGAAACUAUGUAUAUCACCUUUUGUUGGACUCAAGAGUUAUGAAUGGCCCUCACCAUACUGAUGCUUUCUGACUGAGCUCCUCACUACCCUGAACACAAGAGGGAGGAAUAUCAUCGCCCCUAUUCAGCCUGGAGAAGUUACAAAAGAUGGAUCUUCGUCCCUCUGCAACCCUUAGGAUUAAUGGUUCUCCUAUAAAAGGGAUGGGGGGAAAAUGUCAGAGGCAUUUGAACAAGAGCAACUCCAUCUUAAAGAGGAGCUGGGUAAAAUAAGGCUGAAACCUACUGGGCUGCAUUCCCAGAUGGUUAAGGCAUUCUAAGUCACAGGAUGAGAUGGGAGGUUGGCACAAAAUACAGGUCAUAAAGACCCUGCUGAUAAAACAGGUUGCAGUAAAGAAGCUGGCCAAAACCCACCAAAACCAAGAUGGCAAUGAGACUGACCUCUGGUCGUCCUCACUGCUACACUCCCAUCAGUGCCAUGACAGUUUACAGAUGCCAUGGCAACAUCAGGAAGUUACCCUAUAUGGCCUAGAAAGGGGAGGCAUGAAUAAUCCACCUCUUGUUUAGCAUAUCAUCAAGAAAUAACCAUAAAAAUGGACAACCAGCAGCCCUGGGGACUGCUGUGCCUGUGGAGUAGCCAUUCUUUUAUUCCUUUACUUUUUUUUUUUUUUUUUUUUUUUGGAGACGAGUCUCGCUCAGUCACCCAGGCUGGAGUGCAGUGGCACUAUCUCGGCUCAUUGCAAGCUCCGCCUCCCAGGUUCACGCCAUUCUCCUGCCUCAGCCUCCCGUGUAGCUGGGACUACAGGUGCCCACCACUACGCCCAGCUAAUUUUCUUGUAUUUUUAGUAGAGACGGGGUUUCACCCUGUUAGCCAGGAUGGUCUCGAUCUCCUGACCUCGUGACCUGCCCAUCUCGGCCUCCCAAAGUGCUGGGAUUACAGGCGUGAGCCACCGCACCUGGCCUAUUCCUUUACUUUCUUAAUAAACUUGCGUUUACUUUGCACUGUGGACUCCGCCUGAAUUCUUUCUUGCAGGAGAUCCAAGAACCCUCUCUUGGGGUCUGGAUCAAAACUCCCUUUCCUGUAACAGUUUGCAGGAGAAUGUCUUCAAGGCCA